GUUGUAUAAGCUGAAUAGGUUAGGCGUCCGUUUUGUAAUCGGAAGGAAUGGGGUUCGAAUCCUCAAUACAACA
rnacentral:tRNA from 1 species